rnacentral:rRNA from 1 species
UACGUAGGGUGCGAGCGUUGUCCGGAAUUACUGGGCGUAAAGGGCUCGUAGGCGGCCAACUAAGUCAGACGUGAAAUCCCUCGGCUUAACCGGGGAACUGCGUCUGAUACUGGAUGGCUUGAGAUUGGGAGAGGGAUGCGGAAUUCCAGGUGUAGCGGUGAAAUGCGUAGAUAUCAGGAGGAACACCGGUGGCGAAGGCGGGUCUCUGGGCCGAUACUGACGCUGAGGAGCGAAAGCGUGGGGAGCGAACAGG